CUGUUCCCUCUAUCUUGAAACUCUGCCACCCUGAGGACAAGCCCAGGCUAGCCUGCUGGAGGGUGAUUGAUUAUAUAAAGGAAACUCAGUAUAGCAGAGCCGACAUCCUGAAGACUUCUGUGGGAGCAGAUGCCUAGCUGAAGCACAGCUGACAAGAGAGUCAUGAAAAAGCCAAAAGGAUCACCUGCUAAGUCCAUUUUAAAAUCAUGAUCUACAGAAAGUAACCUUGUGCAUAGAGUUCUGAGAAGGCCAAGAAUCUGAGGACUCAAGUAAGCCAAAGCGUCCAACCAACUGCCUGAGUCUGG
rnacentral:lncRNA from 10 species